GACGAACGCUGGCGGCGUGCUUAACACAUGCAAGUCGAACGGUGAAGGGGUCUGCUUUUGUGGGCCCUGGAUGAGUGGCGAACGGGUGAGUAACACGUGAGUAACCUGCCCCCUUCUUCUGGAUAACCGCAUGAAAGUGUGGCUAAUACGGGAUAUUCUGGGUCUGUCGCAUGAUGGGUCUGGGAAAGAUUGCGCCUUUGGGUGUUUUUGGUGGGGGAUGGGCUCGCGGCCUAUCAGCUUGUUGGUGGGGUGACGGCCUACCAAGGCGGUGACGGGUAGCCGGCCUGAGAGGGUGGACGGUCACACUGGGACUGAGACACGGCCCAGACUCCUACGGGAGGCAGCAGUGGGGAAUAUUGCACAAUGGGCGCAAGCCUGAUGCAGCGACGCCGCGUGAGGGAUGGAGGCCUUCGGGUUGUAAACCUCUUUCGCCAGUGAAGCAGGCCUGCUCCUUGUGGGUGGGUUGACGGUAGCUGGAUAAGAAGCGCCGGCUAACUACGUG
rnacentral:rRNA from 1 species